GUCAAAGGUCAGAGGUCACGAAGGCUUUGUCUGCCUCGGAUGAGGAUCAGAGAGGCUCCAGAGAACAGUGAGAUUCUUGUCAGAAAGAACCUAGGCUUCCUGGCUUCCAGACUGUCAACCCAUGUUUUCCCCCAGCCAACUAUCUUCUGCCCAGACUGUGCUCCAGCCCAAAGUACGCAUUCCUUGACAGCCUCCACUCCCCUGCCACGGGGCCUCUUCUGGCACGGUGCAUGGUUAGUCUCCCAGUGGUAAUCUGCAUGCAGGUCCCUCUGUCCCCUGGAGAGCUGGGACCAGGUCUGAGGCAGCCCCGACUCCUCCACAGCAUGGCCUGGCCGGUAAGGGGGUGGGGAAGAAUGAGGCCAACCAGACCUCUCUGCUGCUAAAAAUAGCCAGUCACAGACUCAAGCUCUGAGAUGUCACUAGAAGCCAGGCAGACUCCCAGCGAGGGGCUCAGGAGGCAAGCCAGGCCUAUAUGGGACCUCCUUGGCUGUGCCAUGGGGCUCCCUGCCAAGGCUGGGAGGCAACUGGGGGUGGUGCAAGGCCAGUGUGAGUGAUGGAUACUCAGCCCCUGAUCCUGCAACAUAGAGGCAAAACCAUGGAGGUUUUGGAGAAGGUCCAUGGAAACUGAGGACACCUUGAGGAAAAGAGGCAGAGCAAGAAGGGCCCCAGCAGCCGGCCCGGGGGCGCAGUAGUAAGCUCCUGUACUCUGCCUCGGCAGCCUGGGGUUCGCCGGUUCGGAUCCCAGGAGCGGACCUAGCUCUGCUUAUCAAGCAAGCUGUGGAGGGCGCUCCACAUAUAAGUAGAGGAAGAUGGGCACAGAUGUUAGCUCAGGGCCAGUCUUCCUCAAAAAAAAAAGGGCCCCAAUAAAGGAAAACGGGAGCGGCAGAGCAGCUUGGUGUUAAGAGCAUCGGCUCUGAAUCAGACCGCUGUCUUUAAGCCACAGCUCAGCCACUCAACACUUGUGUGACCUUGAGCAACUUACUGAAUCUCUCUAAGCCUCAGAGUUGACAACAGCAGUUCCGCCUUCAUAGGCUGUUCUGUGAUAAGGCAGUUCUUCUAACACUCGAUUAAUCAACAGAGCCACCUGGGAGGCUUCUAAAAUAAUCGGGUUCUCAGCUCCACACUAGACCCACCGAACUGGGCUCUGCAGGGCAGGGCCUUGGAAAUCUUUGUGUCUUUUUCUUUAAACCUCCGAGGCAAUUCUGAUAAGCCAAGUUUGGGAAAGAGUAUAAGCAGAGAGCACUUGAGCCCCUUGCCAGCACAGAGUCCACACUUCCUAAGUGUUAGGCUACCCCUGCGCUCUCUCAAAGACAAAGACUGAGAGAGCCUGAGAUUUAAGACUGGAAAGCAGAGAGGAGCAGCCGGAGAAGCAGUGAGUGAGAGGGAAGAGAGGGGUGGAAGCACUGGGGGCCGAGGGGGUGGAAAGCAGGUCCUGGCUUGGACUACCAGGCAGGGAAAACAGCACCCUCCAUAGAAAGUAGUUGUAGCUUCUCCUCCAGGUGCUGAAGGCCACUUGGACAAGUGACAAGAGCCCAUUGUGGGCACAGAGCCAGAUGACGCAGUGUGGAAGGAUUCUGGGGACGGCACUGGGGGUUGGGAAGAAUGACUCUGGGGGACAUUGGGGGUCUCCUCUAGAGAGAGAUGAGACUUUAAAGGAAAACUCUCUUCAUGAUAUUCAUGGUAGUGGGGUGACAAAUGACUGGAGAAUCUGGGAAGUCCUGGGGUCCUCAUCACAGGACCGACAUUUGCCAUUUUCUGCUUCUCAAGCUCUUCCCAGUUAUGGAUGCAGCUCUCUGACCCCAGGGCAGGCAUUACUGUCCCCACUGGACAAAUGGGAAGCAAGAGAGAAGGGAGAAACUGAGGCAGUGUGUAAGUUAAGCGCUGCGUUCAAGGUCACACAGUAAGUUUGGGCAGUGUUUCCCAUCUGGCCUGGCACUGCAGCCCUGCUUCUCCAGCUCUGUCCCUGGCCCCUGCUCCCCCCUCCAGCCCCCAUCCAGCUCCUUGGGUUUCCAGUCCUGCCUCCAGCUGCACUGGGCCUUGGUUAUUUAUAGAGUGUCAGAUGCCCGGGGUUGUCUUCACUAGCAGCUGCAGGCCAGUUCCCUCCCGAGUGCCAGGGCUGGUGGAGAACCAACACCAAAGGCUGGAGGUCAGAGAAACCAACCUUGGGGGGGCGGGUUGGGGAACAUGGACAAUGGUCAACACAAACAGUAAUGUCAUCUCUGAUCUUGGAUGUUCAGAUCAUACUUCUGCUAAUCCCCUCAUCCAUCCAACCAUAGGCUCAUCUUAAACUUAAGAGAAUCCUGGGUGGAAGGCAAAUGGGGAAACUGAGGCAAAGAAUAGUAGAAGUACCAUGUCCAAAGUCAUAUGGCCAUUCUCUAACCUCAAGGUGGGGGUUAGGCAUGGCAGUAGGUGGAGAAGUCUGGUUAGGGGGUGUAGGGUGGGCAGAGAAAUCUCAGAGGGAGUAGGACCUGCCAAGGUGGUGCCUUGGCGUUUGUGGCCCUGUCCCUCUGCCCUUUGGCCUGGCAUGGUCUCAAGGCUGACAGCUUAAUGAGGGUAAAUGAGGGGCUGUUAGAACCUGAGCUGGGCCUAGUGCACAGCAAGCCCGCUGGGGCCAGAGGCCAAGGCCAGGGCAUUUCUAAUGGCCCCCCAGGGAUGUAAUUCAAAUCGGGCCCCAUCUCUGGAUUCCUCUUCCUCCUCCUGCCUACAGCAUCUACACCCACACCCCGCAAAUGUAGCUGCAGUCUCCUCUCCAUUUUCAGCUGGAGGAUGAAUUGAGGUGGAUGGUAAAUUCCUGUUCCACCCACCCCCAGGAUGACUCACAGCUUGAUCACCGUACAUUCUAAGAGCUGGCACCAAACGGAAUUAUAAGACUCCUUGUCCUCGGGGGCAGACCAGGGCCCCCGACCCAUCCCUAGAGCACGCCACACCACAGCCCUCCAACAGCACACUGCCCAAGCAGGUGCACUUGGGCAUCAGAGGCACGCGUGGUGAAGACAGUGGGGCUGUACGUCACUCACCGGCUGACAAGGAGCAAGGAGAAUGAUGACAUGAGAAGAAAGAAGAGAUGACGAAGGUAGAGAAGGAGAGAUCAAGUGGGAAGAGAGGAGAUAAGAAAAAGAGGAAGAGGUGAGUGGGAGAACCAAGGAUAUAAGAAUGGUGGGGCCCCAGUGGAAGGGAGGCUUGGAAA